rnacentral:rRNA from 1 species
AUUGACGCUGGCGGCAGGCCUAACACAUGCAAGUCGAGCGAGCGGCGGACGGGUGAGUACUGUAUGGGGAUCUGCCCGUUAGAGGGGGAUAACUACUGGAAACGGUUGCUAAUACCGCAUACUAUCGGAUGAACCCAGAUGGGAUUAGCUAGUAGGUGGGGGAAAGGCUCACCUAGGCGACGAUCUCUAGCGUGUCUGAGAGGAUGCUCAGCCACACUGGGACUGAGACACGGCCCAGACUCCGACGGGAGGCAGCAGUGGGGAAUAUUGGACAAUGGGCGCAAGUCUGAUGCAGCCAUGCCGCGUGUAGGAAGAAGGCCUUAGGGUUGUAAAGUACGUUCAGCGGGGAGGCGUUACCCGCAGAAGAAGCACCGGCUAACGCCGUGCCAGCAGCCGCGGUAAUUC